GCCAGCAUAGUGCAGUGGUUUGAGCAUUGGACUAUGACUCUGGAGACCAGAGUUCAAAUCUCUGCUUGGCC